rnacentral:rRNA from 1 species
AUUGAACGCUGGCGGCAGGCCUAACACAUGCAAGUCGAGCGGAAACGAGUUAUCUGAACCUUCGGGGAACGAUAACGGCGUCGAGCGGCGGACGGGUGAGUAAUGCCUAGGAAAUUGCCCUGAUGUGGGGGAUAACCAUUGGAAACGAUGGCUAAUACCGCAUGAUGCCUACGGGCCAAAGAGGGGGACCUUCGGGCCUCUCGCGUCAGGAUAUGCCUAGGUGGGAUUAGCUAGUUGGUGAGGUAAGGGCUCACCAAGGCGACGAUCCCUAGCUGGUCUGAGAGGAUGAUCAGCCACACUGGAACUGAGACACGGUCCAGACUCCUACGGGAGGCAGCAGUGGGGAAUAUUGCACAAUGGGCGCAAGCCUGAUGCAGCCAUGCCGCGUGUAUGAAGAAGGCCUUCGGGUUGUAAAGUACUUUCAGUCGUGAGGAAGGUAGUGUAGUUAAUAGCUGCAUUAUUUGACGUUAGCGACAGAAGAAGCACCGGCUAACUCCGUGCCAGCAGCCGCGGUAAUACGGAGGGUGCGAGCGUUAAUCGGAAUUACUGGGCGUAAAGCGCAUGCAGGUGGUUUGUUAAGUCAGAUGUGAAAGCCCGGGGCUCAACCUCGGAAUAGCAUUUGAAACUGGCAGACUGGAGUACUGUAGAGGGGGGUAGAAUUUCAGGUGUAGCGGUGAAAUGCGUAGAGAUCUGAAGGAAUACCGGUGGCGAAGGCGGCCCCCUGGACAGAUACUGACACUCAGAUGCGAAAGCGUGGGGAGCAAACAGG